rnacentral:rRNA from 1 species
AACGAACGCUGGCGGCAGGCCUAACACAUGCAAGUCGAGCGAAGCCUUCGGGCUUAGCGGCGGACGGGUGAGUAACGCGUGGGAACGUGCCCUUUGCUACGGAAUAGCCCCGGGAAACUGGGAGUAAUACCGUAUGUGCCCUUCGGGGGAAAGAUUUAUCGGCAAAGGAUCGGCCCGCGUUGGAUUAGGUAGUUGGUGGGGUAAUGGCCUACCAAGCCGACGAUCCAUAGCUGGGUUGAGAGGAUGAUCAGCCACACUGGGACUGAGAAAAGGCCCAGACGCCUACGGGAGGCAGCAGUGUGGAAUCUUAGACAAUGGGGGAAACCCUGAUCUAGCCAUGCCGCGUGAUCGAUGAAGGCCUUAGGGUUGUAAAGAUCUUUCAGUGGGGAAGAUAAUGACUGUACCCACAGAAGAAGCCCCGGCUAACUCCGUGCCAGCAGCCGCGGUAAAAC